UACAGAGGUCUCAAGCGUUGUUCGGAUUCAUUGGGCGUAAAGGGUGCGUAGGCGGCGCGGUAAGUCGGGUGUGAAAUCUCGGGGCUUAACUCCGAAACUGCAUUCGAUACUGCCGUGCUUGAGGACUGGAGAGGAGACUGGAAUUUACGGUGGAGCGGUGAAAUGCGUAGAGAUCGGAAAGAACACCAACGGCGAAAGCACUCUGCUGGGCCGACACUGACACUGAGAGACGAAAGCUAGGGGAGCGAAUGGG
rnacentral:rRNA from 1 species